AGCCCCUUUAAGACCUGCAAGAAUGUUUAUUUCUUGCCUCACAUGCUGUGAUGCAUCCUGAGACAGGAAGUGCUCCUGAGAGAUACAGAUUAUGGGGAAAAGAGCACCUCUAUCUCUGACAGGUCACCAUCACACACUGGAGCUCCAGGAAGGACAGAUGACUUUCCUCGUAGUCUUGAUGGAAGGUAGGCAACUGAAUGCAGAUAGUAGCAACCGAUUCGACCAUCCUCUAUUCAUGGCAGUCAUC
rnacentral:lncRNA from 1 species